AAUAUCACAAGUUGUGAACAAAACAUCGUGGUGCCUUGGUCCUCGUUCUCUCUUCUCCAUGCCAGAUGGCCAUUAAGAAGGAUUGUAAAUGUAUGGAUUGUGGUUCCAGCGGUUUCCUUAGCUUGUGAGCACUGAGAAAAGAUUGUUGCUGAUGUAGAGUUUUGUACUGGUGGACCCCACAGUCCAUGACAGAAACAAAUAGGACAGAAAAUUCCAUCUUCAUCACUAAUAAAAGAAAAGGCAUAUUUUUAGAUUGGCUUAAUUGAUCUACUGUUUUUCUGUCUAGGGUCACAAGUGUCAUGAAGCUGGCCACACCUCGAAAGGCUGCCCGAAUCUAUUCAGUGAAUUGACAGAAAGUUGGAAACAACAUGAGCAAUACAUUCCGGAAGCUGUGACAUACGAUGAAAAGGAACUGUUUAAGGGCAUCGUCUAUGGGGAACGCUUUAACAAUUUGGAAAAAUUCAUCCU